GUCAUAAGGAAGGAUCUGAGUCAUCUCCCCAGGAGAGUAUUUUAGCCAUACAUCAUUGUUUGUUUUCAGGCAACACGUACAAUUAUGCAACAUAAAUUCUUUUUAAGCAUUUGGGACUUCAGUUCAAUUUAAAAUCCUGUAGGCUUUAUGGCCGGAGUGAGUGAUUACUAAAUGCGUGCAUACAAAUGAAGACUUGGGAAGACACACGUGGGGAGGAUUAAAGGACAUAUGGAGCAUCAUGCACACACCGGGCAAGCUCUGGCCAGGUUGAACCAGAGGAUGGGAGAGCUGAAGAGCCCAUGUCAAAAGAUGGAACACAAAUCACCCCCUUCCAGCACAAAUUCCAUGUGAACCUUUCUGGCGUGAGCAAGAUGCAAACCCAGAUGUAAACUCUGCUGAAGCUGGGGGAAUUACUGACAACUGAUACUGAGGCAAUCCAAGGCCAGACCUUGACCUAUUGAUUUCCCUGAGAUUGCACGGGACCUGUGCAGUUCAUUGCAGAAUAUGGUCUUUGUUUGUUUUGUUUAUUACUCAAUAUAUAACCAUGUGGAAUAAAGGACACCGCCGAACUG